rnacentral:rRNA from 1 species
UAGGGAAUCUUCGGCAAUGGACGAAAGUCUGACCGAGCAACGCCGCGUGAGUGAAGAAGGUUUUCGGAUCGUAAAACUCUGUUGUUAGAGAAGAACAAGGACGUUAGUAACUGAACGUCCCCUGACGGUAUCUAACCAGAAAGCCACGGCUAACUACGUGCCAGCAGCCGCGGUAAUACGUAGGUGGCAAGCGUUGUCCGGAUUUAUUGGGCGUAAAGCGAGCGCAGGCGGUUUCUUAAGUCUGAUGUGAAAGCCCCCGGCUCAACCGGGGAGGGUCAUUGGAAACUGGGAGACUUGAGUGCAGAAGAGGAGAGUGGAAUUCCAUGUGUAGCGGUGAAAUGCGUAGAUAUAUGGAGGAACACCAGUGGCGAAGGCGGCUCUCUAGUCUGUAACUGACGCUGAGGAUCGAAAGCGUGGGGAGCAAACAGG